AGUCGAACGAAGUAGCAAUACUUAGUGGCAGACGGGUGAGUAACAUGUAGGUAUCUGCCCUUUGGCCUGGAAUAACACGAGGAAACUUGUGCUAAUACCGGAUAAGUCUUUACGGAGAAAGCUUUAUGCACCAUUGGAUGAGCCUGCACUUGAUUAGUUUGUUGGUGGGGUAAUGGCCUACCAAGACUGUGAUCAAUAGCUGAUUUGAGAGGAUGAUCAGCCACAUUGGGACUGAGACACGGCCCAAACUCCUACGGGAGGCAGCAGUGGGGAAUCUUGCACAAUGGAGGAAACUCUGAUGCAGCGAUGCCGCGUGAGUGAAGAAGGCCUUUGGGUUGUAAAGCUCUUUCGUCGGGGAAGAAAAUGACUGUACCCGAAUAAGAAGGUCCGGCUAACUUCGUGCCAGCAGCCGCGGUAAUACGAAGGGACCUAGCGUAGUUCGGAAUUACUGGGCUUAAAGAGUUCGUAGGUGGUUGAAAAAGUUGGUGGUGAAAUCCCAGAGCUUAACUCUGGAACUGCCAUCAAAACUUUUCAGCUAGAGUAUGAUAGAGGAAAGUAGAAUUUCUAGUGUAGAGGUGAAAUUCGUAGAUAUUAGAAAGAAUACCAAUUGCGAAGGCAGCUUUCUGGAUCAUUACUGACACUGAGGAACGAAAGCAUGGGUAGCGAAGAGGAUUAGAUACCCUCGUAGUCCAUGCCGUAAACGAUGUGUGUUAGACGUUGGAAAUUUAUUUUCAGUGUCGCAGCGAAAGCGAUAAACACACCGCCUGGGGAGUACGACCGCAAGGUUAAAACUCAAAUGAAUUGACGGGGACCCGCACAAGUAGUGGAGCAUGUGGUUUAAUUCGAAGAUACGCGCAGAACCUUACCAACACUUGACAUGUUCGUCGCGACUCUAAGAGAUUAGAGUUUUCGGUUCGGCCGGACGAAACACAGGUGCUGCAUGGCUGUCGUCAGCUCGUGUCGUGAGAUGUUGGGUUAAGUCCCGCAACGAGCGCAACCCUCACUUUUAGUUGCCAUCAUUAAGUUGGGCACUCUGAAAGAACUGCCAGUGAUAAGCUGGAGGAAGGUGGGGAUGACGUCAAGUCCUCAUGGCCCUUACGUGUUGGGCUACACACGUGCUACAAUGGUAUCUACAACAGGAAGCAAGACUGCGAAGUUAAGCAAAUCCCUAAAAGAUACCUCAGUUCGGAUUGCACUCUGCAACUCGAGUGCAUGAAGCUGGAAUUACUAGUAAUCGUGGAUCAGCGUGCCACGGUGAAUGCGUUCCCGGGUCUUGUACACACCGCCCGUCACACCAUGGGAGUUGGUUCUACCUUAAG
rnacentral:rRNA from 1 species